CCCGUAAAGUGCCGAGGCGACCCUCUCAGAAAAACAGAAAAACAAGGAUUCAAACCGUUCAUCAUCGGAGUCGUCCCCGUAAAGCGCCGAGUCGACCAACGUCAAAAGUAAAAUCUUACAGCCGAGACGUCUCGCGUUGAAGCGGAGACGUCUCCGAAGCGCCUGGGACGCGACUGACAACUUUUUCAGGUUUGGUUUGAAUUUCAAACUCCCUUAACUUUAUCUCUAACGGCUAUAUUUGCUUUUUGGGCUAUAAAAGGGAGCUCUUAAGUGCUUUCCAAUAACUUCUGACCAACCCAACACAAGAUCAUUCAAGAGAGAAGAAAGAAAAAGAGGUUCAAGGGAGUUAGUGCAUUUAAGUGAAGAAAUCAAGUGCCUUCAAGCUUCCCAAGUGAUUUCGUGCUCAACUACUCUCUUCCGCU
rnacentral:lncRNA from 1 species